rnacentral:rRNA from 1 species
AGCUCCAAUAGCGUAUAUUAAAGUUGCUGCAGUUAAAAAGCUCGUAGUUGCAUUUCCGAGGCAAGGGAUUAGUCCGACCUUUGGUGGGUAUUUAAUCCUCUUGCCUCGUCCUUGAGUGGUGCUUCUUGGUAUUAAGUUAUCGAGGAGAUAGCCGCUCAUCGUUUACUGUGAGAAAAUUAGAGUGUUCAAAGCAGGCUUAUGCCGUUGAAUAUAUUAGCAUGGAAUAAUAAGAGAGGACCUCGGUACUAUUUUGGUGGUUUGAGAACCAAGGUAAUGAUGAAUAGGGACAGUUGGGGGUAUUCGUAUUCAGUUGUCAGAGGUGAAAUUCUUAGAUUUACGGAAGACGAACUACUGCGAAAGCAUUUACCAAGGAUGUUUUCA